GAUGGACGCUGGCGGCGUGCCUAAUACAUGCAAGUCGAGCGAACAGACGAUGAGCUUGCUCCUCUGACGUUAGCGGCGGACGUGUGAGUAACACGUGGAUAACCUACCUAUAAGACUGGGAUCACUUCGGGAAACCGGCUCUAAUACCGUAUAACAUCUUGAACCGCAUGGUUCAACAGUGAAAGACGGUCUUGCUGUCACUUAUAGAUGCAUCCGCGCUGCAUUAGCUAGUUGGUAAGGUAACGGCUUACCAAGGCAACGAUGCGUAGCCGACCUGAGAGGGUGAUAGGCCACACGGGAACGGAGACACGGUCAAGACGCCUACGGGAGGCAGCAGUAGGGAAUGGGCCGCAAAGGGCGAAAGCCUGACGGAGCAACGGCGCGUGAGUGAAGAAGGUCUUCGGAUCGGAAAAAUCGGUUAUUAGGGAAGAACAGAUGUGGAAGUAACUAUGCACGGCUUGACGGUACCGAAUCAGAAAGCAACGGCUAACUACGUG
rnacentral:rRNA from 1 species